rnacentral:tRNA from 1 species
CAUUAAGUUACUUAAAUUUAAAGUAUUGGUCUCUUAAACCAAAAAUAGUAAUUAUAAAUACUCUUAACGA